AGUGAACGCUGGCGGUAGGCCUAACACAUGCAAGUCGAACGGCAGCACAGUAAGAGCUUGCCCUUACGGGUGGCGAGUGGCGGACGGGUGAGGAAUACAUCGGAAUCUACUUUUUCGUGGGGGAUAACGUAGGGAAACUUACGCUAAUACCGCAUACGACCUACGGGUGAAAGCAGGGGAUCUUCGGACCUUGCGCGAUUGAAUGAGCCGAUGUCGGAUUAGCUAGUUGGCGGGGUAAAGGCCCACCAAGGCGACGAUCCGUAGCUGGUCUGAGAGGAUGAUCAGCCACACUGGAACUGAGACACGGUCCAGACUCCUACGGGAGGCAGCAGUGGGGUAUAUUGGACAAUGGGCGCAAGCCUGAUCCAGCCAUACCGCGUGGGUGAAGAAGGCCUUCGGGUUGUAAAGCCCUUUUGUUGGGAAAGAAAAGCAGCAGGUUAAUACCCCGCUGUUCUGACGGUACCCAAAGAAUAAGCACCGGCUAACUUCGUG
rnacentral:rRNA from 1 species